rnacentral:rRNA from 1 species
GCCGGGGUGCAGCAGGCGCGAAACCUCCGCAAUGUACGAAAGUGCGACGGGGGGAUCCCAAGUGUUAUGCUUUUUUGUAUAACUUUUCAUUAGUGUAAAAAGCUUUUAGAAUAAGAGCUGGGCAAGACCGGUGCCAGCUGCCGCGGUAAU